UUUGUCCUGCGCUGUUCGCGGACCGUGACUUAUAUAACCCUACAAUCAUAUUAAUUGGGGCUAACGCUCAUACAGUGGGCUUGCAGACCUCCCGCGGCUGUGCCGAGUUCGGAAGAAGGGAGCGCGAAGCUGUAUGGCAAGCACCCACCUGGCUAAAGUCCAGGUUAUUUUAAGCACAUUACGGCAGGGUGGGACAGUG
rnacentral:other from 1 species